AACGAACGCUAUCGGUAUGCUUAACACAUGCAAGUCGGACGGACUAAUUAGGGCUUGCUCCAAUUAGUUAGUGGCAGACGGGUGAGUAACACGUGGGAAUCUGCCCAUCAGUAUGGAAUAACUUUUAGAAAUAAAAGCUAAUACCGUAUAUUCUCUACAGAUGAAAGAUUUAUCGCUGAUGGAUGAGCCCGCGUCAGAUUAGGUAGUUGGUGAGGUAACGGCUCACCAAGCCGACGAUCUGUAGCUGGUCUGAGAGGAUGAUCAGCGACACUGGGACUGAGACACGGCCCGGACUCUUACGGGAGGCAGCAGUGGGGAAUAUUGGAAAAUGGCCGGAAGCCUGAACCAGCAAUACCGAGUGAGUGAUAAAGGCCCUAGAGUUGUAAAGCUCUUUUAGCAAGGAAGAUAAUGACGUUACUUGCAGAAAAAGCCCCGGCUAACUCCGUG
rnacentral:rRNA from 1 species